rnacentral:rRNA from 1 species
UACGUAGGGGGCCAGCGUUGUCCGGAAUCAUUGGGCGUAAAGCGCGCGUAGGCGGCCAGAUAAGUCCGGUGUGAAAGUCAAAGGCUCAACCUUUGAAUGCCGCUGGAAACUGCCUGGCUUGAGUCCGGAAGGGGCGAGUGGAAUUCCUGGUGUAGCGGUGAAAUGCGCAGAUAUCAGGAGGAACACCAAUGGCGAAGGCAGCUCGCUGGAACGGUACUGACGCUGAGGUGCGAAAGCGUGGGGAGCAAACAGG